rnacentral:misc_RNA from 1 species
UACGGAGGGGGCGAGCGUUGUUCGGAAUUACUGGGCGUAAAGGGCGCGUAGGCGGUCCGGUCAGUUGGAGGUGAAAGCCCUGGGCUCAACCUAGGAGGUGCCUUCAAUACGGCCGGACUUGAGAACGGGAGAGGAUGACGGAAUUCCCAGUGUAGAGGUGAAAUUCGUAGAUAUUGGGAAGAACACCAGUGGCGAAGGCGGUCAUCUGGCCCGUUUCUGACGCUGAGGUACGAAAGCGUGGGGAGCGAACAGG